rnacentral:rRNA from 1 species
CCUACGGGUGACUGCAGUGAGGAAUAUUGGUCAAUGGCCGGAAGGCUGAACCAGCCAAGCCGCGUGAAGGACGAAGGUGCCAAGCAUUGUAAACUUCUUUUGUCAAGGGACAAAAUCAGGCUCGAGAGCCUGACCGAGGGUACUUGAAGAAAAAGCAUCGGCUAACUCCGUACCAGCAGCCGCGGUAAUACGGAGGAUGCGAGCGUUAUCCGGAUUUAUUGGGUUAAAAGGUUGCGGGGGCGGGCUGUUAUGUCAGCGGUAAAAGCCCGGGGCUCAACCCCGGCGAGCCGUUGAAACUGGCUGUCUUGAGAUGUCGAGAGGUAUGUGGAAUGCGCAGUGUAGCGGUGAAAUGCUUAGAGAUUGCGCAGAACUCCGAUGGCGAAGGCAGCAUACCGGCGGCGAUCUGACGCUGAGGCACGAAAGCGUGGGUAUCGAACAGGAUUAGAUACCCUUGUAGUC